rnacentral:rRNA from 1 species
AUGCACGCCGAUGGCGCCAUCGAGGCAGUGACCCACAUCAUGAGCUCCGGCACGACGUGGCGCGCCAAGGAGAACGCCGCGACGGCCUUGCUCAGCCUGGCGUCCGUCCAUACGUGCCGCCGAGCCUUCCGUCGUGGAAAAGUUAGUCCACCUCGUGCGCACGGGCCCGACGAGCACAAAGAAGGACGCGCUGGCCGCGCUGCUGUCGCUGGCAGGCGAGAGGGAGAACGUCGGGAAGCUGAUGGAAGCUCGUGCGAGAAGCGAGCAACGGCAGCCUGCGGCGUAAGGGAGCAGCAGGAAAUAGGUGGCGCAAACGAGAUCGGGAGCAGCAAAUCCAUGCAGCCAACUCUCAAGGUCCUCCUCAUCGUGGGGAUCCUCAAUCUAACGCCGUUCUGUACCUCUGCCUGA